rnacentral:rRNA from 1 species
UACGUAGGGUGCGAGCGUUAAUCGGAAUUACUGGGCGUAAAGCGCACGCAGGUGGCUGAGUCAGUCGAUUGUGAAAGCCCUGGGCUUAACCUGGGAAUUGCAGUCGAUACUACUCAGCUAGAGUAUGGGAGAGGGCAGUGGAAUUCCCGGUGUAGCGGUGAAAUGCGUAGAUAUCGGGAGGAACAUCAGUGGCGAAGGCGGCUGCCUGGCCCAAUACUGACACUCAGGUGCGACAGCGUGGGGAGCAAACAGG